AUUCUGCUGAAGUGUCUCAAAUAAAACGAAACGCACGUCUUGAAU
rnacentral:hammerhead_ribozyme from 1 species